rfam:Ovis aries breed Texel chromosome 9, whole genome shotgun sequence.
UCCCUGGUGGCUGAGAUGGUAAAGCGUCUGUCUGUAAUGCGGGAGACCUGGGUUCAAUCCCUGAGUCGGGAA